GCAAUGCGUGGCACACGGCUCAGUAACACGUAGUCAACAUGCCCAGGGGACGUGGAUAACCUCGGGAAACUGAGGAUAAACCGCGAUAGGCCAAGGUUUCUGGAAUGGACACUGGCUGAAACCUAUAUGGCCCCUGGAUUGGACUGCGGCCGAUCAGGCUGUUGGUGAGGUAAUGGCCCACCAAACCUGUAACCGGUACGGGCUUUGAGAGAAGGAGCCCGGAGAUGGGCACUGAGACAAGGGCCCAGGCCCUAUGGGGCGCAGCAGGCGCGAAAAUUCUGCAAUAGGCGAAAGCUUGACAGAGUUACUCUGAGUGAUGCCCGCUAAGGGCAUCUUUUGGCACCUCUAAAAAUGGUGCAGAAUAAGGGGUGGGCAAGUCUGGUGUCAGCCGCCGCGGUAAUACCAGCACCCCGAGUGGUCGGGACGAUUAUUGGGCCUAAAGCAUCCGUAGCUUGUUCUGCAAGUCUUCCGUUAAAUCCACCUGCUCAACAGAUGGGCUGCGGGAGAUACUACAGGGCUAGGAGGCGGGAGAGGCAAGCGGUACUCAGUGGGUAGGGGUAAAAUCCUCUGAUCCACUGAAGACCACCAGUGGCGAAGGCGGCUUGCCAGAACGCGCUCGACGGUGAGGGAUGAAAGCUGGGGGAGCAAACCGGAUUAGAUACCCGGGUAGUCCCAGCUGUAAAC
rnacentral:rRNA from 1 species